AAUAUGUUGUAAACUUUCAAUUUUUAAAAUUUUUAACCUUACAAAAUUGUUAACAACACCAGAUAGGUAAUUAUUGGCUAAAUAUAAUGUCUUAAAUUGGUAAAAUGAGAUAGUCUCUCUUAAAAUUAAUAAGCGUCGCCGCUAUAUACCCGAUCUUACUAUAUAUAUGUAUAUAGGCAGAAGAGCGAGUUAAGAGAGCCUUUUUAUGUUAUUUAUCUUCGAGGGUGCUCGUUUUGAACCCGAGUCUCUCUGGAAAAGUGUGCGACUUCCCGAGCUCGAUCAUUCGCUCUGGUUUUCUCGAGGCAGAACAACGCUAUUUUCCGUGAUCGUACCAUAUCGGUUGUAGCCAAAAACAAUAAUCAAGAUGAUGACAUUCGCGAACAGUAAACCAUUAAUAAUUGCAGUGAACUCAUUCGUUUUUAUUGCCGGUGUUAUCUUGUUAAUUAUUUACCAUUGCACCAAUAAAGAUGACAAACUUCCAAAAACUCAAGAAUGACUGUCAUGCCGGUGCCUUACGAAUUCGAUCAGACAUCGUUGCACAGCAAUUGCAAAUUAUAUACUCAAUACAACGUUAUAGCAUAGAAAUAUUAUAUUAUUGGUUUACAAAUAAAAUGAAUUGAUAAACAAAAA